GCCCGAGUGGCGGAACUGGUAGACGCCAGGGACUUAAAAUCCCUUGUUCUUCGGGACGUGCCGGUUCGAUUCCGGCCUCGGGCACCA
rnacentral:tRNA from 6 species